AACGUAGGAGACAAACGUUAUCCGGAGUUACUGGGCGUAAAGGGCGUGUAGGUGGUUGCGGAAGUCUGGCGUGAAAUUUCGGAGCUUAACUCCGAAACUGCAUUCGAUACUGCGGUGCUUGAGGACUGGAGAGGAGACUGGAAUUCAUGGUGUAGCAGUGAAAUGCGUAGAGAUCAUGAGGAAGACCAGUGGCGAAGGCGGGUCUCUGGACAGUUCCUGACACUGAGACACGAAGGCCAGGGGAGCAAACGGG
rnacentral:rRNA from 1 species